rnacentral:tRNA from 1 species
GCGGGCGUGGCGGAAUUGGUAGACGCGCUGGAUUUAGGUUCCAGUGUCUUUCACGACGUGAGGGUUCAAGUCCCUCCGCCCGCACCA